rnacentral:rRNA from 1 species
AACACAUGCAAGUCGAGCGGUAGCACAGAGAGCUUGCUCUCGGGUGACGAGCGGCGGACGGGUGAGUAAUGUCUGGGAAACUGCCUGAUGGAGGGGGAUAACUACUGGAAACGGUAGCUAAUACCGCAUAACGUCGCAAGACCAAAGUGGGGGACCUUCGGGCCUCAUGCCAUCAGAUGUGCCCAGAUGGGAUUAGCUAGUAGGUGGGGUAACGGCUCACCUAGGCGACGAUCCCUAGCUGGUCUGAGAGGAUGACCAGCCACACUGGAACUGAGACACGGUCCAGACUCCUACGGGAGGCAGCAGUGGGGAAUAUUGCACAAUGGGCGCAAGCCUGAUGCAGCCAUGCCGCGUGUGUGAAGAAGGCCUUCGGGUUGUAAAGCACUUUCAGCGGGGAGGAAGGCGGUAAGGUUAAUAACCUUGNCGAUUGACGUUACCCGCAGAAGAAGCACCGGCUAACUCCGUGCCAGCAGCCGCGGUAAUACGGAGGGUGCAAGCGUUAAUCGGAAUUACUGGGCGUAAAGCGCACGCAGGCGGUCUGUCAAGUUCGGAUGUGAAAUCCCCGGGCUCAACCUGGGAACUGCAUUCGAAACUGGCAGGCUAGAGUCUUGUAGAGGGGGGUAGAAUUCCAGGUGUAGCGGUGAAAUGCGUAGAGAUCUGGAGGAAUACCGGUGGCGAAGGCGGCCCCCUGGACAAAGACUGACGCUCAGGUGCGAAAGCGUGGGGAGCAAACAGGAUUAGAUACCCUGGUAGUCCACGCCGUAAACGAUGUCGAUUUGGAGGUUGUGCCCUUGAGGCGUGGCUUCCGGAGCUAACGCGUUAAAUCGACCGCCUGGGGAGUACGGCCGCAAGGUUAAAACUCAAAUGAAUUGACGGGGGCCCGCACAAGCGGUGGAGCAUGUGGUUUAAUUCGAUGCAACGCGAAGAACCUUACCUGGUCUUGACAUCCACAGAACUUANCAGAGAUGCUUUGGUGCCUUCGGGAACUGUGAGACAGGUGCUGCAUGGCUGUCGUCAGCUCGUGUUGUGAAAUGUUGGGUUAAGUCCCGCAACGAGCGCAACCCUUAUCCUUUGUUGCCAGCGGUUCGGCCGGGAACUCAAAGGAGACUGCCAGUGAUAAACUGGAGGAAGGNUGGGGGAUGACGUCAAGUCAUCAUGGCCCUUACGACCAGGGCUACACACGUGCUACAAUGGCAUAUACAAAGAGAAGCGACCUCGCGAGAGCAAGCGGACCUCAUAAAGUAUGUCGUA